rnacentral:lncRNA from 1 species
GCAAAAACGAAGAAUUCCUCUGUAGAUGAUCCUUCUUAUCUUCAGUAAAUUGAUUCAUGAAUGUGUAAAUCGAUCCAAGAAAUCAUUCAUCCGUAUCCAUGGUUCUCUUCAAUAUAGUUAGGGUUCGAAUCGGUAAUUUAAUUGGAAGUUUCUUUUUGUGUAUUUUCCUUCAUCUGUCUUAAUUUUUUCAUUUUGAUUCAUUUAUGUUGUUUAUCCGCCAAGAUCUGUAACCUAAUCUCCGUUAUAUUCUGUAGAUUAAUGGUUUGCGGUCAUCAAUCAUCAAGUUAGGUUUAU